UUUCAGAGUCAGCCAGGCUCAGUCACGCCCCUUGCCGUAUAUCAUUCUUUGACGUAAUUCAUUCUCACCCAAAGAGGUCUAUUUAGCACUAUACCAAAAUUAUUUGGGAAACCCUGACCUGUAUACAUAAGAUAAUUACACACCCAAGAAUUAUUAUGCUGAUACAGUAGUACUGCCCAACAGACAUUGCACGUAUAUACACGAUACACGAGUAUUUAGACGAAAAACAGGUCUUCUAGUACAUACAAGUAUAUACAAGAACCAAAAAUGAGUAGACGGAGUCUGAGGAGACGAUUUUCAUGUAUUUAUAUUAACUAUUAAUAAUUAAAGGGUGUGUCCACGUAGCAGUCAAAAUGGCAGUUAGUUUGCUUAACGAUGGAUCUUUGAUGGUCUUUUUAGUCCUUCUAGGAAUAGCAGAUGAUGAAAACAGCAAUAGAAAAGGAUACAUGAAAAGUAAAUGAAAAAUCACCAAAAUAUAGACGAAUUUGGGAAGCAAGAAGUAAAUGUACAUACACGAAAGUUUGCCAUUGAAUACAAGUACAUACACGACCUGCUUUUUCAAAAUACAAGUAAAUACAAGUACACGAAAAUUCCAGUAGACGUGCAACCUCUGCUGCCCAAAGUUAAUGAAUCAGGUCUGAUUACUGAAGUGAUACAGUCCUGAUAGCCUAUCAGGACUGUAUUACUUAAGGUUACGGGAUACAGUUUAUGAAUAAUUAAUUAGCUGUAGUCAAUUGUUUUUUCAUUUGUUAUCUUUUAAAAAAUGACACUUCUUUCAUUACUACUAUCAUUUUAAUGAUUUAUUUCUUAUAUAAGGUAAUCUGUUCAUCUUA